rnacentral:snRNA from 1 species
GUGCUCACUUUGGCAGCAUAUAUACUAAAAUUAAAGCAAGACAGAGAAGAUGAGCAUGGCCCCUGCUCAAGGAUGACACACAAAUUCAUGAAGUGUUUUAUAUUUUU